rnacentral:piRNA from 1 species
UCUGAAUCUUUUGGAGAUUUCCCCCAGAC